CCUACGGGUGGCAGCAGUGGGGAAUAUUGGACAAUGGGCGAAAGCCUGAUCCAGCCAUGCCGCGUGUGUGAAGAAGGCCUUCGGGUUGUAAAGCACUUUUAGUGGGGAAGAAAGCCUUGGGGCUAAUACCCUCGAGGAAGGACAUUACCCACAGAAGAAGCACCGGCCAACUCCGUGCCAGCAGCCGCGGUAAUACGGAGGGUGCGAGCGUUAAUCGGAAUUACUGGGCGUAAAGCGCGCGUAGGCGGUCUGAUAAGCCGGUUGUGAAAGCCCCGGGCUCAACCUGGGAACGGCAUCCGGACUGUCCGGCUAGAGUGCAGGAGAGGGAGGUAGAAUUCCCGGUGUAGCGGUGAAAUGCGUAGAGAUCGGGAGGAAUACCGGUGGCGAAGGCGGCCUUCUGGACUGACACUGACGCUGAGGUGCGAAAGCGUGGGUAGCAAACAGGAUUAGAUACCCCGGUAGUC
rnacentral:rRNA from 1 species